GUUGUUGGCCCAAUGGCAAGGCGCUUGACGUAAUUUAGCACCUCAAACUCUCUUAAAUAACGCAGUUAUUAACACUAUUUCAUAGUACGAAUCAAGAGAUUGCAGGUUCGAUCCCUGCACAAGUCA